CUGUUUGUAGCUCAGUUGGUUAGAGCGCUGCACCGGAAUCGCAUAUAUGGCCGCAGGUUCGAUUCCUGCCACAGG